CUUCCAGUAGCACCUUAGAGACCAACUAAGUUUGUUAUUAGUAUGAGCUUUCGUGUUCAUGCACACUUCUUCAGAUCUGAAAGCUCAUACCAAUAACAAACUUAGUUGGUCUCUAAGGUGCUACUGGAAG